CAGAAUCGGUGUGUGAUUCGUCAUUGAGUGUACCUAACCUACACCAACAGAAAUAAUCUGGCUGGAGCUGUGUAAGAAAGUCAUUCGAACGCAUCAAAGUGAACUGUUUGUGUGCGCUAAGAGCCGAUUUUUCAAUUCAACGCUAUCAAAACUUUGAACAGAAUCGGUGCGUGAUUCCGAUCGUAACGAAGGCAGCUGCUGUUACUGUGCACUGAAAAUUUGUUUUGCAACAAAACACAACUAAACCGUUGAACGGAGUUAGCAUACAGUAAACAGCAUUCGAAACGAGACAAAGUUGGUUACUGCUGCGUUCAUUUGCAACUCAUUAUUUUUUAUUGGCAUUGGUCACCUGUUUGUUAAAAAAAUCGUAUUUCUUACGGGUUACAUUUGUUAAAUUAUGUUUGGUUGAUCUUUCGUGUUUUUCCAAAUGAAUUGGAUUCUAUUGAACCAAAGGAGUCGAACAAUUUUUGC